CGCGUAGGUGGUUUUGUAAGUCGGGUGUGAAAGCCCCGGGCUCAACCUGGGAACUGCAUUCGAGACUGCAUUACUCGAGUAUGGGAGAGGGCAGUGGAAUUUCCGGUGUAGCGGUGAAAUGCGUAGAUAUCGGAAGGAACAUCAGUGGCGAAAGCGACUGCCUGGCCCAAUACUGACACUCAUGUGCGAAAGCGUGGGGAGCAAACAGGAUUAGAUACCCUGGUAGUCCACGCCAUAAACGAUGACAACUAGAUGUCGGGAGGGUUAGCCUCUUGGUGUCGCAGCUAACGCGUUAAGUUGUCCGCCUGGGGAGUACGGCCGCAAGGUUGAA
rnacentral:rRNA from 1 species